AGCGAACGCUGGCGGCAGGCCUAACACAUGCAAGUCGAACGAACUCUUCGGAGUUGGUUGCGGUCGGGGGAGUAACACGUGGGAACGUGCCUGUUUGUACGGGAUAACUCAGUGUAACUUGUGCUAAUACCGAAUGUGCCCUUCGGGGGAAAGAUUUAUCGCCAUUGGAGCGGCGCGCGUCUGUUUAGCUUGGUGGUGAGGUAAGGGCGCAUCACGGCGUCGAUAAGUAGCUGGUCUGAGAGGCAGACCAGCGACACUGGGACUGAGACGCGGCGCAGACUCCUACGGGAGGCGGCAGAGGGGGAUCCAGCGAUAUGGGCGAGGUCCUGACGCAGCCAUGCUGCGUGAAUGAUGAAGUUCUUAGGAAUGUGCAGUUCUUUCACACGCGACGAUACUGACGGUACCCGGAGAAGAAGCACCGGCUAACUUCGUG
rnacentral:rRNA from 1 species